rnacentral:rRNA from 1 species
UACGUAGGGUGCGAGCGUUGUCCGGAUUUAUUGGGCGUAAAGGGCUCGUAGGCGGCGUGUCGCGUCGGGAGUGAAAGACCGGGGCUUAACCCCGGUUCUGCUUCCGGUACGGGCAUGCUGGAGUGUGGCAGGGGAGACUGGAAUUCCUGGUGUAGCGGUGGAAUGCGCAGAUAUCAGGAGGAACACCGGUGGCGAAAGCGGCUCACUGGACCACAACUGACGCUGAGGCGCGAAAGCUAGGGGAGCAAACAGG